UGAACUCGUUGAAUACAUCAG
rnacentral:siRNA from 1 species